rnacentral:rRNA from 1 species
CUCGUAGGCGGCUUGUCGCGUCGGAUGUGAAAGCCCGGGGCUCAACCCCGGGUCUGCAUUCGAUACGGGCAGGCUAGAGUUCGGUAGGGGAGAUCGGAAUUCCUGGUGUAGCGGUGAAAUGCGCAGAUAUCAGGAGGAACACCGGUGGCGAAGGCGGAUCUCUGGGCCGAUACUGACGCUGAGGAGCGAAAGCGUGGGGAGCGAACA